UUUUUUUUUUUUUUUUUUGCAGAUUUUCUGCUGGGAUUUCCUUUCAUUUUCGGCGGUUCCAAACCAGGAGAAGCAUCGAAGAAGAGGGAUCCUCUCUUCUCAUCUGUGCUUUUGCAGCCAAGCCGGUGGGGAUAAAAAAUCAUGUCGCGGGAGAGAGCUAAGCGGUCGACCCUACCUCCUGCUAAAGAGAAUAUUGCCAAGCUUGAGAAAGUAGUAAAAGAAGGCAAUUACUAUGGAGCGCAACAGAUGUACAAGUCAUUUAGUGCUAGGUAUGUGACCGCUGAAAGAUAUUCUGAAGCUCUAGAUAUUCUUGAUUCUGGUGCUUGUCUACAAUUGGAAACGGGACAGGUUACUUGCGGGGCUGAGCUUGCCAUGCUAUUCGUGGACACACUUGUCAAAGGAAAAUAUGCUUAUGAUGACGAUACUCUCGAUCGUGUCAGAAAAAUCUACAAGAAGUUCCCUCGGAUAUCUGUGCCGCAACAUCUUGACCUGACAGAUGAUGAUGACAUGCAGCAACUCUCUGAAGCCUUUGCUGCUGCAAAAGUUAGAGUCGAGGGCUGCUCAUCAUUUUUAAGAGCUGCUAUUAAGUGGUCUGUGGAAUUUGGAGCAUGUAGGAAUGGAUCCCCAGAAAUUCACGAUAUGCUAGCUGAAUAUAUAUAUUCUGAAUCUCCUGAAGUGGACAUGACCAAAGUGUCUUUUCAUUUUGUUCGAGGGAAGAACCCUAAAAAGUUUGCUUCAACACUGGUGAAUUUCAUGGGCAAGUGUUACCCAGGUGAAGAUGAUUUGGCCAUUGCAAGGGCAAUUUUGAUGUACUUAUCUCUAGGUAACCUGAGAGAUGCUAAUGGUCUCAUGGAUGAGGUGAAGAAGCAAAUGCAGUCUAAGGAGCUUGACUUUCCACAAUCAGAACUAAUCCAGUUUAUCAAUUAUCUUCUGUUGACGUUGCAGAGAGACGCUUUGCCUUUGUUUAACAUGUUAAGACAGAAUUACAAGUCUAGCAUAGAAAGGGAACCUGUAUUCCAUGAGUUGCUAGAUGAAAUAGCUGAGAAGUUCUAUGGAGUACGACGUAGGAAUCCCUUGCAAGGGAUGUUUGGAGAUAUUUUUAAGUUUGAAACAUGUCCAUACAUGGUGACACCUCCUGCAAUGGUGCCAGUCUAGUGUCCCUUUUGUUGUUUUGAGAAUCCCAGUGAGGGUCUUUCAUUUUCAAGAUGAUGGGAGGUGAAUAGCAUCUUAUCAGCCGUUGAAGCGACUCUAAAGCCAAAGAGAAGGUACAUGGCGCUAACGCUAAGUGUCUGCUAUCCGUGAAAAUGAUUGCUGUUGGAUUAUAUUGUUAAGCCGACUGUUGUAAUAUAUAUAGUUCCUUUUUUCUUUUGCCAUAUGAAUUGCAUUUUGUUCAUUCUGGAGGCAGUCACCUUUCCUGUCCAAAUGGUUUAAUUGAAUGCUAAGCCGAAUUUUUCAAUCGAGGAUUACUCAUUUCAGUGAUUAAUCUGGGGAAUACACU